GAAUUGCAGAGAGAUCAACUUGAGACCCACUCCUGUGAUUUGGAGGUGACAUCAGAUUUCAGAGAAUAAGGAUUAUGAAGCAGGCAAAACCCCAUAUGUAUUAUUUAGAGAAGGAUAAUUCCAGGAAGGAACUGUCUCAGAUCUUGGCUGACCUGAUUCUGCUGAUGACUCAGCUCCGAAGGGCACCUCAUUCCGGAAAGUGAAUCAAGUAAUGACGAGUUUUCUCCAGAUAUAUGCUCAGGAGUGGGAUUGCUGGAUCAUACGGGACCUGGAAUUAUUCUGACGUGUCCUUCUACUUCAGAUGAGGACCCUGACCUGGGAUCUCAAGACCCAGGUGACUUCAGGAUGGAGGAUGGAGCCGCUGGAUGUGUCUUCCCCUAUUCAGAUGUUUGAAUAAAGCUUUUUACUUGUCUUCCUCUCCUAGAAAAACAAUUGAAUAUUUUGCCACUUAUAUUUUUCUAAUAUUGUACUUGAGUCAUGCUGCCUUAAUCAUAGUUUAACAAGUUGUUAGAAAUUGUUUUAAACAGGACAAGUAAAUCCA